rnacentral:rRNA from 1 species
GGACUACCAGGGUUUCUAAUCCUGUUUGCUCCCCUAGCUUUCGUGCCUCAGUGUCAGAAGUUGUCCAGAGACUCGCCUUCGCCACUGGUGUUCCACUUGAUAUCUACGCAUUUCACUGCUACACCAAGUAUUCCAGUCUCCCCUCCAACUCUCGAGCGAGAUAGUAUUCAAUGCAGUUUCCGGGUUAAGCCCGGAGAUUUCACAUCAAACUUACCUUGCCACCUACGCACCCUUUACGCCCAGUGAAUCCGAACAACGCUUGGGACCUCUGUAUUACCGCGGCUGCUGGCAC